GCCGACGUGGCGCAACUGGCAGCGCAAUCGACUUGUAAUCGAUAGGUUGCGGGUUCAAGUCCCGCCGUCGGCUCCA
rnacentral:tRNA from 1 species